rnacentral:rRNA from 1 species
CUACGUAGGUGACAAGCGUUAUCCGGAUUUACUGGGCGUAAAGGGCGUGUAGGCGGUCUUGCAAGUCAGAAGUGAAAUUCCUGAGCUCAACUCGGGCGCUGCUUCUGAAACUGCAGGACUUGAGUGCUGGAGGGGAUAGCGGAAUUCCUAGUGGAGCGGUAAAAUGCGCAGAUAUUAGGAAGAACACCGGUGGCGAAGGCGGCUAUCUGGACAGUAACUGACGCUGAGGCGCGAAAGCGUGGGUAGCGAACAGGAUUAGAUACCCUGGUAGUCCACACCGUAAACGAUGGAUACUAGGUGUAGGAGGUAUCGACCCCUUCUGUGCCGGAGUUAACACAAUAAGUAUCCCACCUGGGGAGUACGGCCGCAAGGUUGAAACUCAAAGGAAUUGGCGGGG